rnacentral:misc_RNA from 1 species
GACGUUUCGAACGCAAAUGGCGGUCUAAAGUAAAUUUUAGACCACGUCUGGCUGAGGGUCGGAUUUGAAAUAAAACCAAAAAGUUGCUCAGACUUGGGCUCGUUAAUGUCUUAACUGAAUGUUGAGCCUGUCUGUUUAAAAGCUUCAUCGCUGGGUUAUACAGCCCGGUUAGAUUACGCAGUACUUGCACUGAAAGUUUGCCACAUUGGGUGGGAGCUUUUUGCUGAUUUAAAAUGUUUCACAAUUGUACAUUGGCGUAAAAGUGCGGUACUGAUUUACUAAAGAGAACAUUGAAUUGAUCUCUAAAUCAAACAUACCACCUCAGAGUAGGGGAGAUUACCCGCUAAAUUUAAGCAU